ensembl:snRNA U2 U2 spliceosomal RNA
AUUUGGUCUGCUGGCCUUGGCCAAGUGUUCUUGUUCUUAAAAGUUUAAUACCUGAUAUGCCCUUGAUGAGAGGAUUUUAUAUUAAACAGACUUUGGGGCAUGGGAGUUGGACUUGGAGCUUGCUUUGUCUGCUUCAUGAAUCACUGCAGUAUUGCAGUGACUCUGAGAAUGGUACAUUGAUA